rnacentral:tRNA from 1 species
UAUAUUUUAGUGUAAGAUGCACUUUAGUUUUUGAUACUAUUAGAUAUAGUUUAAUUCUAUAAAAUAUAA